rnacentral:rRNA from 1 species
UACGGAGGGUGCGAGCGUUGUCCGGAAUCAUUGGGCGUAAAGGGCGCGUAGGUGGCGCGGCAAGCGUGCGGUGAAAGCUCGGGGCUCAACCCCGAGUCGGCCGUGCGAACUGCUGGGCUUGAGCACUGUAGAGGCAGGCGGAAUUCCGGGUGUAGCGGUGGAAUGCGUAGAGAUCCGGAAGAACACCGGUGGCGAAGGCGGCUCUCUGGGACGGUACUGACGCUGAGACGCGAAAGCGUGGGGAGCGAACAGG